UACAGAGGGGGCAAGCGUUAUUCGGAAUUAUUGGGCGUAAAGGGCGCGUAGGCGGCUUUGCAAGUGACGGGUGAAAUCCCUCGGCUUAACCGAGGAACUGCCUGUCAAACUGCAUGGCUUGAGACCGGGAGAGGUGAGUGGAAUUCCCAGUGUAGCGGUGAAAUGCGUAGAUAUUGGGAAGAACACCGGUGGCGAAAGCGCUCUGCUGGACCUGCACUGACACUGAGGGACGAAAGCUAGGGGAGCGAAAGGG
rnacentral:rRNA from 1 species